rnacentral:rRNA from 1 species
UGGGGAAUAUUGCACAAUGGGGGAAACCCUGAUGCAGCAACGCCGCGUGAGUGAAGAAGUAUUUCGGUAUGUAAAGCUCUAUCAGCAGGGAAGAUAAUGACGGUACCUGACUAAGAAGCCCCGGCUAACUACGUGCCAGCAGCCGCGGUAAUACGUAGGGGGCAAGCGUUAUCCGGAUUUACUGGGUGUAAAGGGAGCGUAGGCGGUUCGGUAAGUCUGAUGUGAAAGCCCAGGGCUCAACCCUGGGACUGCAUUGGAAACUGUCGGACUAGAGUGCAGGAGAGGUAAGUGGAAUUCCUAGUGUAGCGGUGAAAUGCGUAGAUAUUAGGAGGAACACCAGUGGCGAA